AAGUCGAGCGGCAGCGCGGGGGCAACCCUGGCGGCGAGCGGCGAACGGGUGAGUAAUGCAUCGGAACGUGUCCUGGAGUGGGGGAUAACCUAUCGAAAGGUAGGCUAAUACCGCAUAGCCAAGGGAUUGGAAAGUGGGGGACUCGCAAGGGCCUCACGCUUUUGGAGCGGCCGAUGCCGGAUUAGCUAGUUGGUGGGGUAAAGGCCCACCAAGGCGACGAUCCGUAGCGGGUCUGAGAGGAUGAUCCGCCACACUGGGACUGAGACACGGCCCAGACUCCUACGGGAGGCAGCAGUGGGGAAUUUUGGACAAUGGGGGCAACCCUGAUCCAGCCAUGCCGCGUGAGUGAAGAAGGCCUUCGGGUUGUAAAGCUCUUUCGGCGGGAACGAAAACGCCUCUUCUAAUACGGGGGGUGGAUGACGGUACUCGCAGAAGAAGCACCGGCUAACUACGUGCCAGCAGCCGCGGUAAUACGUAGGGUGCGAGCGUUAAUCGGAAUUACUGGGCGUAAAGCGUGCGCAGGCGGUUAUUUAAGACAGGCGUGAAAGCCCCGGGCUUAACCUGGGAGGUGCGCUUGUGACUGGAUAGCUAGAGUGUGGCAGAGGGGGGUGGAAUUCCACGUGUAGCAGUGAA
rnacentral:rRNA from 1 species